AUGCAGUAUACCGGGCCAACCUACCGCUUCCCCCCCACCGUGCCGGAGAUGCUCUACCCCGCCGGGGUGUAUGUCGAGAGCACCCUUCGUGUGUGGGCGAUGUCAAGGUGGAGGGGCGCAAGGGGGUUCACCGACUUCUUCCUUGGGGCCGGCUACGGGCACCUCCCUCGGGGAUCUCCAAGGAUGUACCGAGUCGAGGAGGUCAUCCACAACGGGGUUGUGGUUGCUAUCCUUGCCCACUUCACCAACCCCUUCGACGCGUUCUACCUCCUCGGCCGCGUGUUCUGGUGUGGCUGCGAGUUCAUAGCUUUCACCACCCAUAACAUCUUCACGGACUACGACAACGUCUUCCCCACCGACGAGCGCAUGCACACUCUGCCGUACCCCAUCAACAACACCGUGGAGGAGCAGUGA
rnacentral:rRNA from 1 species